rnacentral:rRNA from 1 species
GAUGAACGCUGGCGGCGUGCCUAAUACAUGCAAGUCGAACGCACAGCGAAAGGUGCUUGCACCUUUCAAGUGAGUGGCGAACGGGUGAGUAACACGUGGACAACCUGCCUCAAGGCUGGGGAUAACAUUUGGAAACAGAUGCUAAUACCGAAUAAAACUUAGUGUCGCAUGACACAAAGUUAAAAGGCGCUUCGGCGUCACCUAGAGAUGGAUCCGCGGUGCAUUAGUUAGUUGGUGGGUAAAGGCCUACCAAGACAAUGAUGCAUAGCCGAGUUGAGAGACUGAUCGGCCACAUUGGGACUGAGACACGGCCCAAAAGUCCUACGGGAGGCUGCAGUAGGGAAUCUUCCACAAUGGGCAAAGCCUGAUGGAGCAACGCCGCGUGUGUGAUGAAGGCUUUCGGGUCGUAAAGCACUGUGUAUGGGAAGAACAGCUAGAAUAGGAAAUGAUUUAG